rnacentral:tRNA from 1 species
CCCGCGGUAGCUCAAUCGCAGAGCAGUCGGCUGUAGACCGAAAGAUUGGGAGUUCAACUCUCCCCCGUGGGA